rnacentral:rRNA from 1 species
UUGGGAGCUCUCCCAUAUGGUCGACCUGCAGGCGGCCGCGAAUUCACUAGUGAUUAGAGUUUGAUCAUGGCUCAGAUUGAACGCUGGCGGCAUGCCUAACACAUGCAAGUCGAACGGCAGCACAGUAAAGAUUUCGGUCUUUAUGGGGUGGCGAGUGGCGGACGGGUGAGUAACACGUAGGAAUCUGUCCUGGAGCGUGGGAUAACCCGAGGAAACUCGGGCUAAUACCACAUGAUAUCGAGAGAUCAAAAGCAGGGGACCGAAAGGCCUUGCGCUCUGGGGUGAGCCUACGUCGGAUUAGCUAGUUGGUGGGGUAAAAGCCUACCAAGGCGACGAUCCGUAGCUGGUCUGAGAGGAUGACCAGCCACACUGGGACUGAGACACGGCCCAGACUCCUACGGGAGGCAGCAGUGGGGAAUAUUGGACAAUGGGCGAAAGCCUGAUCCAGCAAUGCCGCGUGAGUGAUGAAGGCCUUAGGGUUGUAAAGCUCUUUUACCCGGGAUGAUAAUGACAGUACCGGGAGAAUAAGCUCUGGCUAACUCCGUGCCAGCAGCCGCGGUAAUACGAAUCGAAUUCCCGCGGCCGCCAUGGCGGCCGGGAGCAUGCGAC